CAGGGAUUCUGGAAGUUCCUACUCUCCCAUUUUACCUCUUUAUAUGUUAAUGUGUAUUCAAUAUAACCUGCGGCACAAUCUCAAUGGGAAGGCAGGGACAAUUGCUUCCAAAGUGCUUUCACGCAGUUCCCGUACAUACCAACAUUUAUACGUGGUGACACAAGUUAUACUAUCAUUCACUCUUUCAAUAUAUUAAACUUGUUUUUUUUCUGGAGACUUUCUUUGAAUGGGUUUGGAUGAGCUGGGG